rnacentral:rRNA from 2 species
AGAGUUGAUCAUGGCUCAGGAUGAACGCUGGCGGCGUGCUUAACACAUGCAAGUCGAACGAAGCACUUAUGAUUGAGAUUUCGGUUGAUUGAAUAAGUGACUGAGUGGCGGACGGGUGAGUAACGCGUGGGUAACCUGCCUCAUACAGGGGGAUAACAGUUAGAAAUGGCUGCUAAUACCGCAUAAGCGCACAGGACCGCAUGGUCCAGUGUGAAAAACUCCGGUGGUAUGAGAUGGACCCGCGUUGGAUUAGAUAGUUGGCGGGGUAACGGCCCACCAAGUCGACGAUCCAUAGCCGGCCUGAGAGGGUGAACGGCCACAUUGGGACUGAGACACGGCCCAAACUCCUACGGGAGGCAGCAGUGGGGAAUAUUGCACAAUGGGGGAAACCCUGAUGCAGCGACGCCGCGUGAGUGAAGAAGUAUUUCGGUAUGUAAAGCUCUAUMARCAGGGAAGAAAAUGACGGUACCUGACUAAGAAGCCCCGGCUAACUACGUGCCAGCAGCCGCGGUAAUACGUAGGGGGCAAGCGUUAUCCGGAUUUACUGGGUGUAAAGGGAGCGUAGACGGCUUUGCAAGUCUGAUGUGAAAGGCAGGGGCUCAACUCCUGGACUGCAUUGGAAACUGUAGAGCUAGAGUGCCGGAGAGGUAAGCGGAAUUCCUAGUGUAGCGGUGAAAUGCGUAGAUAUUAGGAGGAACACCAGUGGCGAAGGCGGCUUACUGGACGGUAACUGACGUUGAGGCUCGAAAGCGUGGGGAGCAAACAGGAUUAGAUACCCUGGUAGUCCACGCCGUAAACGUUGUAUACUWGGUGUCGKGGWGCAAAGYUYUUCGGUGCCGCAGCWAASGCUWAKAAGUAU